AGAUGUGAGGGUGAUCUGGCUGUGACAUCUGUCGCCCCAUUGAACACAAGUGUUGAUUCGGCUGAUCUGGCUGGCUAAGUGGGUAUCCCCUUCCUCCCUCACCGCUCCAUGUGCGUCCCUCCCAAAACUGCAUGCUCAGUCAAAGAGGAUGACCAUCCCUGAUAGAGGAGGACCGUUCUUCGGUCAAGGGUAUACAAGUAGCAGCACUCCCCUGCUAGAACCUCCAAACAAGCUCUCAAGAGCAGAGUUGCACAGCACCAAGUGGAGUGAUGGGAAGAAGGGUUGAAAACUACACUCCUCAAAAAAUAAUUCAAUAUAGGAUUCAGU
rnacentral:snRNA from 1 species